GGGAAAGACGUGACUCUGCAAUUGAUUAAGCUAUUCACGUUCUGAACAAUAAAAUACAUUUAAACAAAAACAGCUUUUUGGAAAACACUUUUGACCUCUCGUUGGGUUAAGCCAAGGAAGAAGAUUAGCCAGCAGUUGAAGCUUACAUUUUUCUGCGUCAGUAGGCCUACUCGGUCUGGGGUGGAAAGGUGCGAGGGCCAUCCUGUGCCACCAGUCAAUUGAUGGUGGAUGACCUUCUGACCCCGUGCUCGCCAGGUGACCCGGCUGCCAUAGAAUUGACCUGGAUGUGCCUAGCGACAAGCUGCUGUAGCCCAUCUGCAUGUCCGACAUGCUGCCCUCACUAUAUACCACGCAACCCACAGUCAACAUGGAGGUCUUGUUCAAGGUCAGGAAGUUCACAGAGGACUUAGAACAGGAGGGUUGAGAGCUCCUGGGUGGCAGGGGCUUUACUACUUCUUACUCAGUCUCUCCUAUCAAGACCCAACUCCAGUCAAAGAGUAGCUACAGUAUUACAGCAGUAUUACAACACUACGAACCUGCAUUGGCAAGAAUGAUGGAGCAUUUUAAUUUACACACAAUUGUGCAAUGGAAAUGUUUUUUUUUUUGCAUAUCCCAACUCCCCCUGAGACACCCACAAGUGCCUUGCUCAAGGGCACAGCGACAUUAUUAUUUAUUUUCCCACUUUGUCGGCUACGGAAUUUGAGCCAGCAACCUUUCGGUAACUGGCCCAAUGAUCUAAUCUUGAGGCUACGUGCCGCCACUUAGAAUGUAGGGUGACUCCCCUAGUGGGUCCUGAACCCAGGUCAGCAGCACUACAUUGCUGUGUGUCUGUAUAGUUGAGGGUAUAUUGGUUUAGUAAUACUCAUUCCAGUUCUGGUCCCAGAGGGG